rnacentral:rRNA from 1 species
GUUAAGCGACUAAGCGUACACGGUGGAUGCCCUGGCAGUCAGAGGCGAUGAAGGACGUGCUAAUCUGCGAUAAGCGUCGGUAAGGUGAUAUGAACCGUUAUAACCGGCGAUUUCCGAAUGGGGAAACCCAGUGUGUUUCGACACACUAUCAUUACGUGAAUACAUAGCGUAAUGAAGCGAACCGGGGGAACUGAAACAUCUAAGUACCCCGAGGAAAAGAAAUCAACCGAGAUUCCCCCAGUAGCGGCGAGCGAACGGGGAGCAGCCCAGAGUCUGAAUCAGCUUGUGUGUUAGUGGAACGGUCUGGAAAGUCCGACGGUACAGGGUGAUAGUCCCGUACACCAAAAUGCACAGGUUGUGAACUCGAAGAGUAGGGCGGGACACGUGGUAUCCUGUCUGAAUAUGGGGGGACCAUCCUCCAAGGCUAAAUACUCCUGACUGACCGAUAGUGAACCAGUACCGUGAGGGAAAGGCGAAAAGAACCCCGGCGAGGGGAGUGAAAAAGAACCUGAAACCGUGU